CCUGUGGAAACAAGGGGGUCGUUACGUGAAGGGGAAGCGCGGGGAAGAAGGAAUUCCAUAUUUAAACAGUCGAGAGUGGACAUGCAGUGAGGUACUCUGAGAAAUAUUUAAUCAGUGCCCUUUCCUCCAAGUACACGAGACAGUCAGCGCUAGCCAGCUGGCCUCCUGAUACUCUAUGACACAGAGGGAACCCCAUCCAACUUUACUUUCCAUCUAUCUAUUUUUGAAUCCUUUUAACACUUGAGACAGAGAGAGAAAGAGAACAACAGGCAGGCAGGCUGUGUUUAACCCCCAAAAUGGCUUGCAGAGCCUGAAAGCUUGGGAGUGAAGACCAUUUCUCUGGCAUCUUGAUACAAAAUGUAUAAAACAUAUAAUAUCUCACCAUGUUAUUAGUCUACAGAUUCCACACUCCAGCAUACUUACAUAUUUACAGGAAAAGAGGCAGGGAGAUCGAGAGGACUGUGCUGAGAUGCUUAGAGAGAAGAAUUUGGGAUCAAGCUGCAGCAUUAUUAACAAGGAGAGGGAGGGUAGGGUGGCCCAGAAAACAAAAAAGAGCUGCUCACAUGAAUUUUGAGAAGAGACGGUGGAGAAGACACACACACAUUCCUAAUUCUUGCCUUGGCUGGAUAACACGGCUGCAAAAGCAACUUAAGACACCCAGACUUUCUCCACUGGCCCCUAUCUUUAAAGAUCACCCACUAUGAGAAGAAAACCAGAACCUUCCACUAAACUGCACAGGUGAGGCAGAGUUUGGAUGGUAAAUGGAUGAUAACCCUAAACUGGGAGGGUGCAAGGGUGUGGUCUAUUUGGGGGUUAUUUUGUAUUUCCUUUUUAUUUUUUUUGCAGAGUGCAGGCAGCAAGGGGAACGGAUGUCAGUGAGGGUGAAUAAGUGAAAUAAAGUACGGGUCUGGACUAUACGAUCAACCGAGAGGCAGUAAACAGUCUACCCCUUAGGUUAACGAGGUUAACUUGAUGCCUAUCCUUUCCACAGGGAGCCCAGGACCAUGCCUGUCGAAUGUGGCCAUAUAUCCACCAAUCAAAAAUACAAAAUAUAUCUUCAGCCACAGGCAGGAGCAGAACCUUCCAGGUGUACACUCUCUUGGUGAACUUAGGCUGGAAGUUGGGGUGUGCUGUUGGACUAAAACAAUGCUCUCUAGAAACAAAACACUUGAGCGAGCAUGUGCUGAGGCGAGCUGAUGGUGGUGGUCAGGCAGGUCAGUAAAAGGCAAUUUUGAGUGAGGUUCAGAAUUAUUUUGAGCUGAAGUGUCCCCCAUGCGAUUCCUUCUGGUCCAAAGAUAGCAAUUGGUUUCAGUGAGUUUUUAACUUAAUGUGGCUGUGGCCAUAUAAGGGGCCAGGGCUGAAUUACAUCAGGCCUGAAGCUUCCCAGGGCCCUGACCCUGUGGAGAGGACGCUUCCCCAGAGUGCUGACAAACACGCUUAGAGCCAAGACCCUCCUGUCCUGGGGCUCCUUUUAGCUCCGAGAAGGAGGAGGGUAGGCACAGUCACUUUACAUGGAAGGAACUACUUUCUUUUUUAUUGUAAACAUGGUGGGAACCACCUAGGCAGUUGGCACUUCUCCCCAGGUAUCUACUAAUGAAAUUCCAUUUAUCUCUUUAGAAGAUGGGACGGUGAAAAACACGAGGCUGCUUGAAGAAUCUGCCAUGAUCCCAGUGUAUACAGUUUCAGAAACUACAGUCCCUGCUCCACUGGGGCCCACUACAAUGACGCUGUCAGAGAUGGGAAAGCCCUGGUUGCCAGUUCCCGGGGCUGCUGGCGCUACGGGAUGGGGAGAACGUGAUUUAAGCCCAGAGGGAUCUGCUGUGAUAAGGGCUUUUCUCUCCCUGCCUGCCUUUCUUCUUUCCAUUAAACGAACCCCAUAAACAUUUCAAAAUCUCAUCAUCCUGAGUUUUCAUCAGACUACAAGGCACCCCUGUCUCCCGUCAGCCAGCUACCAACCUGCCCUCCAUCUAUCGCCCGGCACAGCUCAGAGACCCUAAGUCUCUUCUAACCUGACCCACUUAACACCACAAGACUGGAGAGCACAGUGGUUCCAAGCUUGGCUGGGAAGGCAACUGGACCUCAAUUCAAAUCCUGGCUCGUCUGCCUAUAGGUUCUAUGGCCCUGAGCAAGUUAUAAGCCUCAGUUUUCCCACCUGAAAAAUGGGGAUAAUGAUAUACUUGUGCUGUUUUAAGAAUUAAAUGAUAUAAGCAUGAGAAGUGCUUAGCACAGUGCCUGGCAGAGCUCAGCAAUGUGUGUUAUUUAUCUCCAUCUUCUGCAUCAUCUCUUGUGUCUAUUCUCUAUCUUCUAUGUAGCCCAGGGGUCAGCAAACCUUUUCUAUCAAGGGCCAGUUAGCAAAUACUUUAGGCUUUGAUGGCCACAUGGGCUCAGUCACAACUACUCAACCCUGCUGCUGUAGUACAAAAGCAGCCACAGACAAUAUCAAGUGAAUGGGGUGGCUGUGUUCCAAUAAACCUUCAUUUAUGGAAGCUGGAAUUUGAAUUUCAAAUAAUUUUCACAUAGCACAUUCUUUGAUUUUUCUUUAACCCCUAAAAAUAUAAAAACCCAGAUGCAAAGAAAAAACAUCCUUGUGCUUUCUGUCCAAUUGUGGCAGCCCGGUUUGAAUAGGGAAUUUUUUUUUUUUUUUUUUUUUGCAACUCAGAAGUAACCCUGUGAACAGUAAACAAAAGCCUGCUUGACUCCAAAGAAGAAUUUGAGUUUAUAAGUAUUGGAAAAUUACUUCCCAAUACCCUUGCCUUCUGAUUGAUUCCACUUUUAAAAUCGCAAGAGUUCAGUCUAAUUAAAGGCAAGCCAAAAAAUAAAAAUACACACACACCCCUUUCCAGGUUUACCAGCUGAACAAAAACAAGCAUAGGCCAGAUUAGACCCAACUACCAGUUUGCCAACCCCUCAUGGACUCAAUCCUUCAGGCUCCUCCUCCUGGCUGCCACCUCUUAUCUCAUCCCAUAUAAAGAGGGGAAUAAUACACAGCAGCUCUCACAGCCCACGACCCCACUUCAACAUGGGUCCCUCAGGGAUUAGAGAUGUGUCUUCUGGAUGUCUAGCUGAGAUUUUAAAAAGCUAUUGAUUGAACACCUAACUGUCAGAUGCUGUUGGCCACUUUUACACAUAUUUAGUAUUUAAUUCAGUGUACACAAGUCUGUGAGGUAGGUAACCACUCUGCUUCAUGGAUAAAGAAACAGAGAGGCCAAGUGACUUGCCCAAAGUCAUAGAGCCAGGAAGUAACAAAGCAGUCGGCUCCGGUCUCUAGAAUCAAGUGCGGCACUCUGCCCACCACCCACAGCCACCAGUCCCACCAUCUGCCACAAAGCAAAGCCUGCAUUCCAGGGAGGUGGUGGAAGCCAAAGGGUGUCAGGACAAAAGGCCGGGCAGGAGAAAGGUUUCUGGUGAUCUGCAUCCGUGUACAGCAGUCUAGCUGAAUCAAGAACAACCAGGAGUGCCUGUUAAAAUAUGGUUCACAGGGCCCCAUCCCAGAGUUUGUGACUCAGAUGAGAAGUCAGGCUUGAGAAUUUACAUUUCCAACAGGUCUCAAGGUUCUCUUAAGGCCACUGGUCCACAGCCCAGAGCUCCCUUUGAGAAUCACUGCUAUAAUAAUGUAUAUUCAAAAACAUCCUUAUACUGGGGAAGUGGUUAUUUUUGCAAAUUUCUUCCUCCUCUGAAGCAAAGUUUUUAUAACCUGUUCCAACUGAAUUAUUUUUUGAGCAGAUGGCCUGUCACAUUUCUGCCACUACCUUAGGGACAAUUCCUAGGUAUCUGUCUUCUUGUCCCAAACACGUAGCUGAGAAAUUUAUAAGACUUGAUUUUUACUCAUGUUACUGCAACGUACAGGCUUGUGUGAUCAAGGCCAAGUAUAAGCCUCACUGCCUCGCACACCUCACAGGGUUGUUGAGGUCAGGGACAUGACACAUUUUAAAAGUGACCAUUGUUAACACUCACUGGUGUAUCCACCCAGAUCUCUGGCCCCAAGAUUUCCUUGCACACGAAGGCCUUCAAACAUCAGAGGACGCGCUGCGACAAUGGUUCUCCUUCCACCCCUGUAUCUGUCACUUUCACUUUCUUAUUCUUCCUUUCUAGGUUAUUUCUAGUCAGGUUUUGUUACAUCAUUCUACCAAAUCUAUUAGAUUGACACACAUUAAAUGUCAACAGAUUCUGAAGAGGGGCUGUCAAUAAAGGAUGUGAACUUUGUCCAUGGAUGUGUGGUUGGGUUGGUUCUAUUCAGGUGAUGCAGGCACCCAGAUGUCUCAGGGAAAGCCAAGGUAAGUCUGUUUCUCCAAACCCCUCGGUAUCAUAAAGGGACCAUCACUGUUGACUCAGACAGCCUUGUUUGAGUCCUGCUUUGCUCACUUCAUAUCCUGAAGCAAGGGACAGAGCCUCCUAUGUGAAUUGGGAGAUUAUCUCUUUUAAAUAUUUACUUAUUUUAUUUUGGCUGCAUUGGGUCUUCCUUGCUACUGGGGGACUUUUCUCUAGUUGCGGCAAGCAGGGUUACCCUCCAGUUUCCGUGCACAGGCUUCUCACUGUGAUGAAUUCUCUUGUUGCAGGGUACAGGCUUUAGGGCACAAGUGCUUCAGCGGUUGCAACCCCCAGGCUCUAGAGCACAAGCUUAGCAGUUCUGGUGCACGGGCUUAGUUGCCCCAAAGCAUGUGGGAUCUUUCUGGAUGGGGGAUCGAACCCCUGUCCCUUGCAUUGUCAGGAGGAUUCUUAUCCACUGAACCACCAGGGAAGCCCUAUCUAUCUCUUGAGUCACAAGGACUGAAUGGAAGUAUCUGGCAUUAAGGAUGUGCUUAGUAAGAUUGGAAUCCAAAAUAUAAGGGAAAAGAAAUUUCCCAGACAUAGAAAUUAGAGUGGGUGACUCCCGUCAUUUGAUAAGUAGUCAUAAGAACAUAAUAU